UACGGAGGAUGCAAGCGUUAUCCGGAAUGAUUGGGCGUAAAGCGUCCGCAGGUGGCUGUGUAAGUCUGCUGUCAAAGAGCGAAGCUCAACUUCGUAAAGGCAGUGGAAACUACACGGCUAGAGUGCGUUCGGGGCAGAGGGAAUUCCUGGUGUAGCGGUGGAAUGCGUAGAGAUCAGGAAGAACACCGGUGGCGAAGGCGCUCUGCUAGGCCGCAACUGACACUGAGGGACGAAAGCUAGGGGAGCGAAUGGG
rnacentral:rRNA from 1 species